rnacentral:rRNA from 1 species
AUCUGCCCUUCACUCUGGGACAAGCCCUGGAAACGGGGUCUAAUACCGGAUAACACUUACCUCCUCCUGGGGGUUGGUUAAAAGCUCCGGCGGUGAAGGAUGAGCCCGCGGCCUAUCAGCUUGUUGGUGGGGUAAUGGCCUACCAAGGCGACGACGGGUAGCCGGCCUGAGAGGGCGACCGGCCACACUGGGACUGAGACACGGCCCAGACUCCUACGGGAGGCAGCAGUGGGGAAUAUUGCACAAUGGGCGAAAGCCUGAUGCAGCGACGCCGCGUGAGGGAUGACGGCCUUCGGGUUGUAAACCUCUUUCAGCAGGGAAGAAGCGCAAGUGACGGUACCUGCAGAAGAAGCACCGGCUAACUACGUGCCAGCAGCCGCGGUAAUACGUAGGGUGCGAGCGUUGUCCGGAAUUAUUGGGCGUAAAGAGCUCGUAGGCGGUCUGUCACGUCGGAUGUGAAAGCCCGGGGCUUAACCCCGGGUCUGCAUUCGAUACGGGCAGACUAGAGUGUGGUAGGGGAGAUCGGAAUUCCUGGUGUAGCGGUGAAAUGCGCAGAUAUC